rnacentral:tRNA from 1 species
UCCCUGGUGGCUCAGACGGUAAAGCGUCUGCCUAUCAUGCAGGAGACCUGGGUUCAAUCCCUGGUUGGGAAG